rnacentral:lncRNA from 1 species
GUCUUUGUAUCAUAUGUUCAAGGUACAGAAAAGGAAUUUAUAGUAAAUUAUAACAAAUACAGUUAUUCAUAGUAAAUGUAUGUAAGUAUGUACAGAAAUAUAUCCGCAGUGACCGCCGUUGAUUAUAAACCAUAGGCGGAUCCCAUGGGGGGCCUGCAGGCCCUGCCCCGCCUUUCGUUGAAAAAAUUGGUUGAUUAUAUGGGGAAUCACUGAAGCAUGAGAGGAACGACCCCCUUUUUUUCGUUGAAAAAAUUGGUUGAUUAUAUGGGGAAUCACUGAAGCAUGAGAGGAACGCCCCCCCCCCUUUUUUUUAGGUCAGUCAGUGCCCCCUACCUUAUGAAAAGUUCUGGAUCCGCCACUGUAAACUAAUUGAUAGUAAAUAGCAAAUAUUAUUCAUUUUCGUUUUCCUCCCAAAAUAACCCAAACUGAAACACGUUAAGCAAGGAUGAUACAUGCUAGAACUCAAAAUGACAGCAGAAAGCAAAUGUAUAUACUUUAUUGAUCUUUAUUCAUAGUCUUUGUAUGUUCAAAGUACAGAAAAACACAAACCGGAAGUCUAAUCUGACUUAAAGUUUUGUCCAAUGACGGGAAAAUAUCCGGACGCAUUCUUUUUCGUUUUUAUCCCAAAAUAACCCCAACUGAAUGAUCAUAAGAAUGGAUGACAAAUGCGACUAUACAUGUUACCUAUAGGACACAGAGGCAUGAUGAUUAAUUUAUUGUGGAAGGAGGAGAAGCGACACCCAAAAUGAGGUCUUCUCGUUUAAUAGUAUAGAUAAUUCA